GUGAUCUCUUCUGCAGCACAUAUACUAAAAUUGUAAUGAUACAGAGAAGGUUAGCAUGGCCACUAUGCAAGGAUGACAUGCAAAUUCAUAAUUCAUGAAGUAAUCCAUAAUUUU
ensembl:snRNA U6 U6 spliceosomal RNA